CAAGUUCUGAGUUCUUGUUUCCCACCAAGAAGAAUAAGGACAGAGAAAGCGUAAUCCGGAACAAAGCCAUACCUGUCUCCUGCCUCCUGACCUGCCUCACACUCCUCUACCUGAAUGCACUUGUGAACUUCAGAAUUUUGAAGCUCUGUCUCCUGACAUCACAGAUAGACAGUAAGACUUGUCAUCCUAGAAAUUUUCUGACUAUUAACAUUCAGAAUUGCUUUUUUUACUUCAUGUGUGAUUACAAAUCUUUUCUUCUUUCAUAUUUGCUCAACAGAGACAGGGAAUUCUUAUGUUACCUCCAUUUCUAUACACAUUUAACCAAUGUAAUAUAUUAUAAAUAUAAUUAUGUAAAUUAUUUUACCUUUUUUUAUAAUUUCCCAA
rnacentral:lncRNA from 10 species